AUUGAACGCUGGCGGCAGGCCUAACACAUGCAAGUCGAACGAGUGGCGGACGGGUGAGUAAUGUCUGGGAAACUGCCUGAUGGAGGGGGAUCACUACUGGAAACGGUUGCUAAUACCGCAUACCAUCGGAUGUGUCAAGAUGGGAUUAGCUAGUAGGUGGGGCAAAGGCCCACCAAGGCGACGAUCUCUAGCUGGUCUGAGAGGAUGACCAGCCACACUGGAACUGAGACACGGUCCAGACUCCUACGGGAGGCAGCAGUGGGGAAUAUUGGACAAUGGGCGCAAGCCUGAUGCAGCCAUGCCGCGUGUGUGAAGAAGGCCUUCGGGUUGUAAAGUACUUUCAGCGGGGAGGCGUUACCAACAGAAGAAGCACCGGCUAACUCCGUGCCAGCAGCCGCGGUAAUUC
rnacentral:rRNA from 1 species